rnacentral:rRNA from 1 species
AGAUUGAACGCUGGCGGCAGGCUUAACACAUGCAAGUCGAGCGGUAACAGGGGUAGCUUGCUACCCGCUGACGAGCGGCGGACGGGUGAGUAAUGCAUAGGAAACUGCCCAGUAGUGGGGGAUAGCCCGGGGAAACCCGGAUUAAUACCGCGUACGCCCUUCGGGGGAAAGCAGGGGAUCUUCGGACCUUGCGCUAUUGGAUGUGCCUAUGUCGGAUUAGCUAGUUGGUGGGGUAAAGGCUUACCAAGGCGACGAUCCGUAGCUGGUCUGAGAGGAUGAUCAGCCACAUCGGGACUGAGACACGGCCCGAACUCCUACGGGAGGCAGCAGUGGGGAAUAUUGGACAAUGGGGGCAACCCUGAUCCAGCCAUGCCGCGUGUGUGAAGAAGGCUUUCGGGUUGUAAAGCACUUUCAGUGAGGAGGAAAACUCUGCGACUAAUACUCGUAGGGCUUGACGUUACUCACAGAAGAAGCACCGGCUAACUCCGUGCCAGCAGCCGCGGUAAUACGGAGGGUGCAAGCGUUAAUCGGAAUUACUGGGCGUAAAGCGCGCGUAGGUGGUUUGAUAAGCGAGAUGUGAAAGCCCCGGGCUUAACCUGGGAACGGCAUUUCGAACUGUCAGGCUAGAGUAUGGUAGAGGGUAGUGGAAUUUCCUGUGUAGCGGUGAAAUGCGUAGAUAUAGGAAGGAACACCAGUGGCGAAGGCGGCUACCUGGACCAAUACUGACACUGAGGUGCGAAAGCGUGGGGAGCAAACAGGAUUAGAUACCCUGGUAGUCCACGCCGUAAACGAUGUCUACUAGCCGUUGGGACUCUUGAAGUCUUAGUGGCGCAGCUAACGCACUAAGUAGACCGCCUGGGGAGUACGGCCGCAAGGUUAAAACUCAAAUGAAUUGACGGGGGCCCGCACAAGCGGUGGAGCAUGUGGUUUAAUUCGACGCAACGCGAAGAACCUUACCUGGCCUUGACAUGCAGAGAACUUUCCAGAGAUGGAUUGGUGCCUUCGGGAACUCUGACACAGGUGCUGCAUGGCCGUCGUCAGCUCGUGUCGUGAGAUGUUGGGUUAAGUCCCGUAACGAGCGCAACCCCUAUCCCUAGUUGCUAGCAGUUCGGCUGAGAACUCUAGGGAGACUGCCGGUGACAAACCGGAGGAAGGUGGGGAUGACGUCAGGUCAUCAUGGCCCUUACGGCCAUGGCUACACACGUGCUACAAUGGUGCGCACAGAGGGCUGCAAACCCGCGAGGGGGAGCCAAUCUCACAAAACGCAUCGUAGUCCGGAUCGCAGUCUGCAACUCGACUGCGUGAAGUCGGAAUCGCUAGUAAUCGUGAAUCAGAAUGUCACGGUGAA